GUCACUUCGCGUGGUUCUCUAGUAGGCAGUCUACAACCCGAGCGACCAGAAGCAACACAAGUGGUGUAAGGUUCCGCGCUAACGCUAGCUUCAACUCGCAAGACACGCUAUCUCGAACUUAGCUUCAAUUUUCGUUCUUUGCGAUGGGUGCAACCAAAGCUGUGAUCUUCGUCGUUCUUGUAUUUGCUGUCAUGCUAAUUAAGAAGAGUUACACUGCCAAAGGCGGCAGUGACGGGUGGCCUACAUGUGACGGACAAUGGUGUACGUUCGACUACAACGGCCACAGUUCCUGCCCACCUAACUGUCGCUGCAUCGUCAAUGAAACCAAGGGGAACGUGCGCUCAGGAUUUUGCUGGACAUGAUAAGGCAGGUCUCGCUGGUUUUUGUGAAAGAGCAACACAAAGCGAGUUGUUCUUAGUGCAACAAAAUAAAACAUGGAAAUCUUGUUUGA